rnacentral:rRNA from 1 species
UGGGGAAUAUUGCACAAUGGGCGAAAGCCUGAUGCAGCAACGCCGCGUGAGUGAUGAAGGUCUUCGGAUUGUAAAGCUCUGUCUUUUCGGGACGAUAAUGACGGUACCAAAGGAGGAAGCCACGGCUAACUACGUGCCAGCAGCCGCGGUAAUACGUAGGUGGCGAGCGUUGUCCGGAUUUACUGGGCGUAAAGGGUGCGUAGGCGGAUGUUUAAGUGAGAUGUGAAAUACCCGGGCUUAACUUGGGUGCUGCAUUUCAAACUGGAUAUCUAGAGUGCAGGAGAGGAGAAUGGAAUUCCUAGUGUAGCGGUGAAAUGCGUAGAGAUUAGGAAGAACACCAGUGGCGAAGGCGAUUCUCUGGACUGUAACUGACGCUGAGGCACGAAAGCGUGGGUAGCAAACAGGAUUAGAUACCCUGGUAGUCCACGCCGUAAACGAUGAGUACUAGGUGUAGGAGGUAUCGACCCCUUCUGUGCCGCAGUAAACACAUUAAGUACUCCGCCU